CAUGUGUGUAUGGGUUUGUGUGUGUGUGUGUGUGUGUGAGAGAGAGAGAGAGACUGUGCAUGUGUGUAUGGGUUGUGUGUGUGUGAGAGAGAGAGAGAGAGAGAGAGAGACUGCGCAUGUCUCAUAAAACACACAUCACUGAGAGCUUUGAUGUGAAUGUGAUUUCCUGGUUAGUCUAUGGGCUUCUUCUAUUGGGUUUAA